UACAGAGGGUGCGAGCGUUGUCCGGAAUCACUGGGCGUAAAGGGCGCGUAGGCGGCCUGUUAAGUCGAACGUGAAAAUCCCUCGGCUCAACCGAGGAACUGCGCCCAAUACUACCGUGCUUGAGGGAGAUAGAGGUGAGCGGAACUUAGGGUGGAGCGGUGAAAUGCGUUGAUAUCCUAAGGAACACCGGUGGCGAAAGGCGGCUCACUGGAUCUCUUCUGACGCUGAGGCACGAAAGCUAGGGUAGCGAAC
rnacentral:rRNA from 1 species